rnacentral:rRNA from 1 species
GAUGAACGCUAGCUACAGGCUUAACACAUGCAAGUCGAGGGGAAACGACAUCGAAAGCUUGCUUUUGAUGGGCGUCGACCGGCGCACGGGUGAGUAACGCGUAUCCAACCUGCCCACCACUUGGGAAUAACCUUGCGAAAGUAAGACUAAUACCCAAUGAUAUCCCACGAAGGCAUCCGAAUGGGAUUAAAGAUUUAUCGGUGAUGGAUGGGGAUGCGUCUGAUUAGCUUGUUGGCGGGGUAACGGCCCACCAAGGCGACGAUCAGUAGGGGUUCUGAGAGGAAGGUCCCCCACAUUGGAACUGGGACACGGUCCAAACUCGUAGGGGAGGCAGCAGUGAGGAAUAUUGGUCAAUGGGCGAGAGCCUGAACCAGCCAAGUGGCGUGCAGGAUGACGGCCCUAUGGGUUGUAAACUGCUUUUAUAAGGGAAUAAAGUGAGUCUCGUGAGACUUUUUGCAUGUACCUUAUGAAUAAGGACCGGCUAAUUCCGUGCCAGCCGCCGCGGUAA